GGAGGAGUAAUCAAGCCUGGCCAAAGAUGCAGGACUUAAGAUCCUGUCUCUCAGGAGUUCGCGGGUUCAAAUCCCGCCUCCUCCA
rnacentral:tRNA from 2 species